rnacentral:lncRNA from 1 species
GUAACUUCACAGCCAUGCUAUAUGCCUUCUCCUCUCAUGUAGCUGUGCUUUGCAUUUUCUGUUAGUAGUUUUGUUCCAGUGUAACCGGAGCAGCAGAUAAUAAACUUUCCAUGUGCCAUUUUCAUCUCUAUAAAGGAAUUUCCCUAUUAAGUUGAUGCUUUGACAAGGUUCUCAAUAUUCCUGAAUAUCCUUCUGCCUAAAGUUUAAUUUUCCCCAUGUUUUCAGAAACAGCAUUCACAGUGUUUGAAAAGGUUCUACUGGAAAGCAAACUUUUUCCAAGAUCAGUUCUAUGAUAUGAUUCUGCCUUCAGAAGCACAUGGAUUUCCUCAUUCAUUCGGGAGUGGAGUGUAACGGCCCCCCGUGCCCUGGUGCCACCUGGCAGUGCCCUGGUGCCACCUGGCAGCGCGGAAGCAGCGGGGGCACGUGUCAGCAGCAGUCCCCUCUGCCAGCCGCCUGUGGGUGCGUGAUCAUUCAAUUUUAAAAGACUUUUUUUAUCGGACAAUACGCGAGCAGGAAUUUGAAGUACAUUAUUCUGUUGCUUUGGCAACACCAACUGCUAGAACUUUGCAAGGCUUCACCUAAGAUGUCUGAAGACUAAAGUUACUACGGUUUUUUGUUCGUACGCGGAUAAAGCUUAAUUUCAUGGAGUUGUACAUUCUCGGGCACACUUGUUGCCUUUUCUCUUAACUUGGGGGGAGACAGUCAUGGUUCCAGUUCUGUAAAGCUUGCAAUACUGUUACUUUAACAGAGGAAGCGUAUGCAGCAGUCUGUUAGAGAGUGCAUUUAACUAUGGACCGCAGGAGCAGACAGAGUUUGUCUGUGUAGCAACAGCUCCCCCAACCAAUCAGCAGAGAUGUUAGAGUGGAAGCAUUUUUAACACUUCGUCUCCUUUAAUUUUUAACAUGUUCUUUUCUGAUCCCCCUCCUCCACUGCAGGCUUAGGGUGACGUCCUGAAGCUUUCCCUCUCUUUUGUGCAAUAGAAGUUGGGUGUUAGAAGCAAUUACCAAGUCAAACUAAGCCCUUUUUAAAAUAUUUUAGUUUUGACCCGUAUCUGCCAGGAAAAGGUUCCGGUAUGCUGUUUUGUUCUGUCUUUCCAUAAAUUUCUAUGCUGUGCCAGCUGUUCGGUUUAACUAAGAUGUCCGAAUUUCUGUGUACGCAUAUUUCAAGAGGGCUUA